rnacentral:rRNA from 1 species
AGAGUUUGAUCAUGGCUCAGAUUGAACGCUGGCGGCAGGCCUAACACAUGCAAGUCGAGCGGUAGCACAGAGAGCUUGCUCUCGGGUGACGAGCGGCGGACGGGUGAGUAAUGUCUGGGAAACUGCCUGAUGGAGGGGGAUAACUACUGGAAACGGUAGCUAAUACCGCAUAACGUCGCAAGACCAAAGAGGGGGACCUUCGGGCCUCUUGCCAUCGGAUGUGCCCAGAUGGGAUUAGCUAGUAGGUGGGGUAACGGCUCACCUAGGCGACGAUCCCUAGCUGGUCUGAGAGGAUGACCAGCCACACUGGAACUGAGACACGGUCCAGACUCCUACGGGAGGCAGCAGUGGGGAAUAUUGCACAAUGGGCGCAAGCCUGAUGCAGCCAUGCCGCGUGUGUGAAGAAGGCCUUCGGGUUGUAAAGCACUUUCAGCGGGGAGGAAGGCGAUAAGGUUAAUAACCUUGUCGAUUGACGUUACCCGCAGAAGAAGCACCGGCUAACUCCGUGCCAGCAGCCGCGGUAAUACGGAGGGUGCAAGCGUUAAUCGGAAUUACUGGGCGUAAAGCGCACGCAGGCGGUCUGUCAAGUCGGAUGUGAAAUCCCCGGGCUCAACCUGGGAACUGCAUUCGAAACUGGCAGGCUAGAGUCUUGUAGAGGGGGGUAGAAUUCCAGGUGUAGCGGUGAAAUGCGUAGAGAUCUGGAGGAAUACCGGUGGCGAAGGCGGCCCCCUGGACGAAGACUGACGCUCAGGUGCGAAAGCGUGGGGAGCAAACAGGAUUAGAUACCCCGGUAGUCCUGAGUUGCAAGCCG